UCAGGUGUCUCAGCGGGUGAUUUCAUUAACAUUCAGGUGUCUCAGCGGGUGAUUUCAUUAACAUUCAGGUGUCCCAGCAGGUGAUUUCAUUAACAUUCAGCUGUCUGAGCGGGUGAUUUCAUUAACAUUCAGGUGUCCCAGCAGGUGAUUUCAAUGACGUUCAGGUGUCUGAGCGGGUGAUUU